rnacentral:rRNA from 1 species
CACGCCCUAAACGAUGUCAACUAGCUGUUGGGGCCUUCGGGCCUUGGUAGCGCAGCUAACGCGUGAAGUUGACCGCCUGGGGAGUACGGUCGCAAGAUUAAAACUCAAAGGAAUUGACGG